rnacentral:rRNA from 1 species
UUUCUGUUAGCUCUUUGGUCCUUACAGUCUCCCGUCUUGACUCCCACAGAGAGAUUCUGGAAGUCUUCUCUGGAGAUCUUCUCAGAUUGCAUGCCCAAUCACAUUGCCGUUGCCCUGGCAGCCACCCGCGGGUCCACCCUUUGGCACAGCGGUACUGCAUUCCUAAUGAUGCAGGAGACACAGCUGAUAAUAGAGUGUCACGGUUGAAUCCUGAAGCCCAUCCUCUCUCUUUUGUCAAUGAUAAUGAUGUUGGUACUUCAUGGGUUUCAAAUGUGUUUACAAACAUUACACAGCUUAAUCAAGGAGUGACUAUUUCAGUUGAUUUGGAAAAUGGACAGUAUCAGGUAAUGAGAAACGAUAAGGUGUACAUUAAUUUCCUGUGGUUAUUGCAACAAAUGCCCACAAACUUCAUGUCUUAAAACAACAGAAAUAUAUUCCCUAACAGUUCUGGAGAUCAGAAAUAUGAAAUCAACAUGUUGGCAGGGCUACAUUCCCAA